UACGUAGGGUGCAAGCGUUAAUCGGAAUUACUGGGCGUAAAGCGUGCGCAGGCGGUUUUGUAAGUCUGUCGUGAAAUCCCCGGGCUCAACCUGGGAAUUGCGAUGGAGACUGCAAGGCUAGAAUCUGGCAGAGGGGGGUAGAAUUCCACGUGUAGCAGUGAAAUGCGUAGAGAUGUGGAGGAACACCGAUGGCGAAGGCAGCCCCCUGGGUCAAGAUUGACGCUCAUGCACGAAAGCGUGGGGAGCAACAAGGAU
rnacentral:rRNA from 1 species